AGGCUCUGCUGCGAGCGGAUUAUGGAUUACGGGACAUGCAAUUGCAACGGGCGAAAGAUAAGACGGUCCGCUUCAUUAAAUACAGUGUUUGGUGCCUAUAAGGGACCACCCUUCACCGCUCUCGUGGGUCCAAAAGGCGGAUAGCAUGUUCAAAAAUCGAAAUCAAGACGCCAGCUUGCUAUGGCCGCAGAACUUGAGAGUUCCGCACCACCGCCCAAAGACCAGGUUAUUGUGACUUAAAUCUGGUUUAUUGGUAUGCAGGAAACGGGUUCACAGAUGUCAACAUCUUACAAUGCAGGUCUAGGAAGAUCCAGUUAUGCUGCCUAAAACGAGGCGAUUUGCAUGAAAUUAAAUGGUAUUUGAUUUCCAAACUAUUGAUAACGAAAUGUAUUUCCAGCGAAGAGCGCAAUCUUCCCGGUGAGUCAAUUGAUAAGUAAGCCCCAUAAGAAGUCCAGCAUGUAGCUAACUUACCUAUAUAUAAUAUUUUCCAUAUUUAGGCAGCUAAGUCGUCUAUAGUCUUAAUGGUUGUCCAAAUCAAAAUUAUACCCAAUCUAAUUUGCACACUGAUAAAACAAACCAGAGGCGGCUCAUCAAACAUUAGCAUAGAAUUUGAAUAAAACAGUUAAUACGAACGGA